rnacentral:rRNA from 1 species
CAGCCGCCACGGGAAUACGAAGGGGGCUAGCGUUGUUCGGAAUUACUGGGCGUAAAGCGCACGUAGGCGGAUAUUUAAGUCAGGGGUGAAAUCCCAGAGCUCAACUCUGGAACUGCCUUUGAUACUGGGUAUCUUGAGUAUGGAAGAGGUGAGUGGAAUUCCGAGUGUAGAGGUGAAAUUCGUAGAUAUUCGGAGGAACACCAGUGGCGAAGGCGGCUCACUGGUCCAUUACUGACGCUGAGGUGCGAAAGCGUGGGGAGCAAACAGGAUUAGAUACCCGCGUAGUCCCUGUCUCUUAUAC